CAGAGAAGGUUGGACUGCUGCAAAUAUGCAAAAGCAAACGUUUAUACAAAAGGAAAAUAGAUUAAUGAGAAAAGAAAAAUACUUGGGGUAGAAAAAAGUUCAGGAGAUCAGACAAGGUGAAAGAAACAAGUGUAACCUGUACUAAACGAGCAAUUUAAAAACACGCCGCUGUGGCUCACGGGCUGAGGGCUCACGGUUUUAAUCUCUUAAACCCGGCACACGGGGGAAGGAUUAACCAGUGGCAAGAACUAACAAUGUUUCCCCAAAUUGGUACCAGGUGAAAAUCAAGCAAGUUCCUGCUGCACCAAUGCACAAAACUAACUAAAAACAAUCAAAGAAAGCUGUUUAUAAAAAGUCAAAAAAAGAUAAAUUAUAUCUUUAUCGUUUUUUGCAUGAAGUUCCAGGACUCUCGUUCCUACAUUAUUAAAAUCAUGUUUGAUUGGGAUCAACAUUUCCAUUCUUAUGUUGUGGCAAUCCACAUCUAACCUUCCCAAAAAUAUUCUGAGACUAAAGUCGUUUUCAAUUGAUGCUUUUGUUACACUAAUCUGGAUACCAUUAAACUUGCUUAAGAUGGUUGUAUAUAGGAAAUUAAAGCAAGUUCUUGAAUCAGGUAGU